rnacentral:rRNA from 1 species
AUUGAACGCUGGCGGCAUGCCUUACACAUGCAAGUCGAACGGUAACAGGUCUUCGGAUGCUGACGAGUGGCGAACGGGUGAGUAAUGCAUCGGAACGUGCCCAGUAGUGGGGGAUAGCCCGGCGAAAGCCGGAUUAAUACCGCAUACGACCUGAGGGUGAAAGGGGGGGAUCGCAAGACCUCUCGCUAUUGGAGCGGCCGAUGUCAGAUUAGCUAGUUGGUGGGGUAAAGGCCUACCAAGGCAACGAUCUGUAGUUGGUCUGAGAGGACGACCAGCCACACUGGGACUGAGACACGGCCCAGACUCCUACGGGAGGCAGAAGUGGGGAAUUUUGGACAAUGGGUGAAAGCCUGAUCCAGCAAUGCCGCGUGCAGGAAGAAGGCCUUCGGGUUGUAAACUGCUUUUGUCAGUGAAGAAAUCUUCUGGGUUAAUACCUCGGGAGGAUGACGGUACCUGAAGAAUAAGCACCGGCUAACUACGUGCCAGCAGCCGCCGUAAAAC